rnacentral:lncRNA from 1 species
GGGAAUUUACGGUCUGUGCAGAGUAGAAUGUCAGCGCUGGCAAGUGUAGAGUAGAAUGUCAGCGCUGGCAAGUGCAGAGUGGAAAUUCAACUCUUCAGAGUCAGAGUAGACGGGCAGCGCUGGCAACCUUCAGAGUAAAAAUUCAGCUCUGCCCAGUGCAGAGCUGGCCUUUUCAGCGCUGAAAACAAAGCAUUAACACCCAAAAAAUCAAAGCAUCUGCACAAGCAACCAAAACUUAGAAAAAAACACAAAACAAAAACGUAAAGCAAAGAACAAGAAAAAUAAAAAUAAAAAAAACUAAACCAACGGUGGGUUGCCUCCCACCAAGCGCUAGAUUUAAAGUCGCCAGCCCGACUUCAGUUCUGACCAUCAAUCAGGAUCAUGCAGAGCUUGAGACUCCACCACCAUCAGAGUACUCAAGUGCCCAUAAGAGGAUUUCAUGCUAUGACCGUCUCCUCUGAAAUUCUCCUUAGCAUUCUUAGCG